rnacentral:ncRNA from 1 species
CCGAACCUGGGUGAUCUAUCCAUGACCAGGAUGAAGCUUGGAUGAAACUAAGCAGAGGUCCGAACCGACUGAUGUUGAAGAAUCAGCGGAUGAGUUGUGGUUAGGGGUGAAAUGCCACUCGAACCCAGAGCUAGCUGGUUCUCCCGAAAAUGCGUUGAGGCGCAGCAGUUGACUGGACAUCUAGGGGUAAAGCACUGUUUCGGUGCGGGCUGCGCGAGCGGUACCAAAUCGAGGCAAACUCUGAAUACUAGAUAUGACCCAAAAAUAACAGGGGUCAAGGUCGGCCAGU